GUAGGGUGCGAGCGUUAAUCGGAAUUACUGGGCGUAAAGCGUGCGCAGGCGGCUUUGCAAGACAGAGGUGAAAUCCCCGGGCUCAACCUGGGAACUGCCUUUGUGACUGCAAGGCUAGAGUACGGCAGAGGGGGAUGGAAUUCCGCGUGUAGCAGUGAAAUGCGUAGAUAUGCGGAGGAACACCGAUGGCGAAGGCAAUCCCCUGGGCCUGUACUGACGCUCAUGCACGAAAGCGUGGGGAGCAAACAGGAUUAGAUACCCUGGUAGUCCACGCCCUAAACGAUGUCAACUGGUUGUUGGACGGCUUGCUGUUCAGUAACGAAGCUAACGCGUGAAGUUGACCGCCUGGGGAGUACGGCCGCAAGGUUGAA
rnacentral:rRNA from 1 species